rnacentral:rRNA from 1 species
CUUGACACCCAUAAGAGGUCCAGCCUGCCCAGUGACUCUGUUCAACGGCCGCGGUAUCCUAACCGUGCGAAGGUAGCGUAAUCACUUGUUCUUUAAAUGAGGACUAGUAUGAAUGGCACCACGAAGGUUAUACUGUCUCCUUUUUCUAAUCAGUGAAACUAAUCUUCCCGUGAAGAAGCGGGAAUGUAAAUAUAAGACGAGAAGACCCUAUGGAGCUUUAAACAAACAUACAACUGCCUUCUUUUAUAAAUAUUUCAGAAGAAAACUUUUAUUUAGGCAUUUUGAUAUAGAGUUUUAGGUUGGGGUGACCACGGAGUAAAAAACAACCUCCGCAAUGAAAGGGGCUCUUCCCCUAAGCUAAGGGCUACAACCCUAAGAAUCAAAAAAUUGACACCAAUUGACCCAAUUUACUUGAUCAAUGAAC